CAACCACAGAAAUGACCAAGGCCCCAGAUGGGAACAAUGUGUGGCGAGAUUCUGCCGAUUGUUGGAGGGGAGAGAUAGAAGAGACAGAGAUGGAGGAGAAGAGAUCGGAGGAUUGAGGAGGGAGAGUCCCUACAGGAAGUGAAGCAACUGUGGAAGAGGAAAAGGAGAGAAUGGGCAGAGUGGGUGGUCUCUCUGAUUGACGUCUCUCACAGCGAAUCCAAAUAUUUCUGGAGCAACAUGAGUUUCCUGAAGCUUCGAAAACUGACCGGUGAAAUGGAGGCAACUUUAAGCAGCAGAUCAGGAGCCCCUGAAAACCAAGACGGAGCCCCCAAAAAUCAAAAAGCAGAAAGUCUCACAAAAAACCCUCAGCAAAGAAAUAAUUUUCACCCCUGGUGGCC